GAUAGUGUGGCAUAGUGGUUUGAGUGUUAAACCCGAAUUCUGGAGACCAGGGUUUGAUUCCCCACUCAGCCG